UUAAAGAUAUUAUCCCCUUGUAGUGUAGUUUAAUAGCUAUCUACAUAUUAACUUAAUAUAAAGUAUAAUAGUUUAUAUUUUAUAAUAUGACGUUAACAAUUUUGUUUAAUAUUUGAAAAUGUUAGUAUUAGUAAUAUUAGUAUAUGUGCUAAAGGAACUCGGCAAAAAACCACUCAACUGUUUAUCAAAAACAUAGCUAUAUGAAUUAAUAUAUAGUUAUUUCUGCUCAAUGAUUUAAAUAGCCGCAGUACUCUGACUGUGCAAAGGUAGCAUAAUCAGUUGGCUUUUAAUUAGAGUCUGGUAUGAACGAAAAUAUGGGUAGUAACUGUCUUAGCACAUUUUUUCGAACUUAUUAAACAUGUGCAAAUGCUUGUAAUUUAACAAUAGACGAGAAGACCCUAGAAACUUGGACAAGUUUUUGUUGGGGCGACAGAAUUACACUUAACUAAUCUUAUAAUACACGACGCGAUGUUGAAAGAAUAAGUUACUCUAGGGAUAACAGCAUAAUUUCAUUAGUUUGUGACCUCGAUGUUGGACUAGGUACUAUACCCUUAAGGCAAGGAUAUAUUAUGCUCUGUUCGAGCAAAAUUACCUACAUGAUCUGAGUUCAGACCGG
rnacentral:rRNA from 1 species